rnacentral:rRNA from 1 species
AUUGAACGCUGGCGGCAUGGUUAAGACAUGCAAGUCGAACGGUUAAAGCCCCUUCGGGGGUGUAUAAAGUGGCGAAAGGGCGAGGAAUACAUUCCUACGUGCCUCGAGGUUGGGGAUAGCCCAGGGAAACUUGGAGUAACACCCAAUGUGGUCUACGGAUCAAAGGCUUGCCGCCUUGAGAGCGGGGAAUGUCCUAUCAGGUUGUUGGUGAGGUAAAGGCUCACCAAGCCUACGACGGGUAGCGGGUGUGAGAGCAUGACCCGCCGCAUCGGGACUGAGACACUGCCCGGACUCCUACGGGAGGCUGCAGUAACGAAUAUUCCGCAAUGCGCGAAAGCGUGACGGAGCAAUGCCGCGUGCAGGAUGAAGCCUUUCGGGGUGUAAACUGCUGUCAGGGUACAGGAACACAAUGACCAUACCCAAAGGAAGGGCCGGCUAACUUCGUGCCAGCAGCCGCGGUAAUACGAAGGGCCCGAGCGUUAAUCGGAAUCACUGGGCUUAAAGCGUACGCAGGCGGACAUUCAGGCAUCUCGUGAAAUCCCUCGGCUCAACCGGGGAACUGCGGGGUGAACCG